rnacentral:lncRNA from 1 species
ACCAAAAGAUAUUUUUUCUACCAUACUGAUGAACAAAAGGUGUUCGUCAGUCUUAAAAUAACCUUUUUAGAAAAGGAGUUCCUUGGUGAAGGAACCGUUGCCUUUAAGGUUGAACUUGAUGAAGUUCAACAGAUAGAAGGACCGACACCAAUAGCUGAACCUGAGUCGGAUUUUAUUAGAUCAGAUCCAGAGCUCAAUAUACCUGCACCAUUAAG